GCUGACGAGUGGCGCCCCCGUUUAGUAAUGCUUGGGAACUUGCCCUAACGUGGGGGACCCCAGUUGGAAACGACUGCUAAUACCGCAUAAUGUCUUCGGACCAAAGGUGGCCUCUAUUUAUAAGCUAUCGCGUUAGGAUGGGCCCAAGUGGGAUUAGCUAGUUGGUAAGGUAAUGGCUUACCAAGGCGACGAUCCCUAGCUGGUCUUAGAGGAUGACCAGCCACACUGGAACUGAGACACGGUCCAGACUCCUACGGGAGGCAGCAGUGGGGAAUAUUGCACAAUGGAGGAAACUCUGAUGCAGCCAUGCCGCGUGUGUGAAGAAGGCUUUCGGGUUGUAAAGCACUUUCAGCGAGGAGGAAAGGGUAAUUAUUAAUACUAACUAUCUAUGACGUUACUCGCAGAAGAAGCACCGGCUAACUCCGUGCCAGCAGCCGCGGUAAUACGGAGGGUGCGAGCGUUAAUCGGAAUUACUGGGCGUAAAGCGCGCGUAGGCGGUUAAUUAAGUCAGAUGUGAAAGCCCAGGGCUCAACCUUGGAACUGCAUUUGAAACUGGUUAACUAGAGUUUUGUAGAGGGUGGUAGAAUUUCAGGUGUAGCGGUGAAAUGCGUAGAGAUCUGAAGGAAUACCAGCGGCGAAGGCGGCCACCUGGACAAAGACUGACGCUGAGGCGCGAAGGCGUGGGGAGCAAACGGGAUUAGAUACCCCGGUAGUCCACGCAGUAAACGAUGUCUAUUAGAAGUUUGUGGCUAUAUGCCCGUGGGGUUUCAAAGCUAAACGCAUUAAAUACACCGCCUGGGGAGUACGGCCGCAAAGGUUUAAAACUCAAAUGAAAUUGAC
rnacentral:rRNA from 1 species